AACGCUACAUGAUAUCGAUUAGGCCAUAUCGAUAGGAAAGCUGCCUAAAAAUAUCUAGUUCUUCCGACAAGCGUGAGUUGAAACCGAAAUCGUGACUAGAUUCGAUCAAACUAAAUUAAUGAGACACAAUGUGAUACGCGUACAUUUUAAUAUAUAUCAAACUUCAAUGGCCCGUCAUUUCUUAUUUUAACAAAAUAACAACCGAAAGACAUAAUUUUUAAAAUAAUCGUUAUAUAGGAUUUUUUUGAAGUCAAACAUCCAUAUUAACUAAAAUAUAAGUCAUUGAUACUAUCGCUGUUCUGCCUAUGUAAUGUGACGUGUCUUGGCUUUCGACCUGUGGUAUUUUGAUAUGCCCACACACGUAUUCGUAAACCAUUAACAAACUCAAACGUUAAAUGUAAUUACAAACAUACGAUCAGUGAAUUACUUCCUCGGCAUAAAAUAUUUGUAAAUUACCCUCAAGUUCCACUAAUUUUACGUUAUAAUACGACAGAAUAGAAAAUUGCGCGUGCGGUUAACCUAAAGCACGACUUGGUGUAUUCCGCUUUCAAAAAUACGGCGGCAUCUAAAUUUGACAGUGACGAAGCGAAACAGAUGACAGCUGGAAAAAGAUAUGACGCCUUCAAGAUACGCAACUAAGGCGAUAGACGUUUUGCUCUUUUAGCGACGACUCACGUAGUUCAACAGGGCCGGUUAUCGGCUAUGUAUGAAGGAUAAAAGCGGAGAAGGAUUACUUGUUCUGUAACGCAGCGCUAUCCGAUGCACACACGGAAAUAAAUACGCACCGACAUCAAGGGGGAAAAAAAUCUCAACCACUUCUAGUUUGGAUAUCAACGGUAACUCGGCAACGAUCUAUUUUAAAUUAACCGACUACCAACUAACGACAGAUAGUAUUGAUGCACACCUGAGCACAUAUAAAUACGACAGGAACAUUCCCGGGAAGAAAAUGUGCGCCACCCUCAAGUUAUACCAUCAUUGGUUCUAAUCAAAGGCGAAAGCAAAUAGUUUUCAAAACGCUGUUGCCCAGGACCAGAAAAAUAAUUCAUCGACCUACAAAUAUUCAUAAGAUGUAUAACUAAAGUGGCACAACAAUCGCCAGAAGUUUGAAUUUUCGGUUCAAACUGAGUCGAAGUGCCGUACCACCGUAAAAAGACGACUGACUAAGUGCUGUUUCAAAUAGAUGGAACUUCCCUGUAGGCUGAGUUUCGCAUGGCAUGAAUAUGUUUUCCUGUUUAUUGUAACCCACUAUCCGAUUUACCAACUCAAAACGCAUAUCGUCAACAAUUCUUCUGUUCAAUAUACUGAACUCAAACCAAUCUACAGUUGGCUGAUUUUAACUUCCUGUAUGGGUAAAGCGAUGCCUUUGAGAGCAUUUUCAGGCAGAAGGUAGAAAAAGAAUUCCUAUGCGCGCGAAACUAUCCGCAUAUUUCCACACCUUGUUUAUUUAGUUCAUUUUAGUUUUAACAAAACAGGCUUAGUUCGAGUGUGUCGUCACCAGACAUUGACCAGUCGAUAACCUGUGCUUUCGUGGCCUAUAAUACGUUGCACUACCAAUAAGAGCUACAUACGGGUUAAACAAAACGAGAGAACGACGAUGCUUGAAACUUAAUAGAGUAUAGCCAAGCGUAACAGAAGAAAAAGGGAACGAGACGAUCAUGUGACUGACAUUGCGCAAACCACCUGUGGCAAUAAUACGUCACGAGUUGCAGGCUUAACUUGUCUGCAAGCGCGGUGUAUGCGCCCUUGUCACUGUGUGGGGAGUCUCGCAGCUUCGCAUUUAGCGCUGAAAAAAAACGUUAUCUAAAUAUAAUAACCCUGAACUAUGGACGGAGCACGGAAGAAGAUCAAAUUACAACUAUCCUAUAGCGGUAAUCGAAUGUUUACCAAAAUACAAGUUCAAUUUCCGCUCUUGAAUUAGCGGAACGCAUCCUAAUUUCGAAUUCAAUAUCUUUACCAAUUGCCCAUUCCGUAUGUACCUCGCUACUACACCCACCACGGGCGAAUGAUCAGAGUUAGUUCAAACACAAUAAAUUAUUGAACGCAUGAAAACAACGUCUGGGUGGUGUUAUGCAUAAUGCAUAUGGUAAACCUAAAACGGGUGGAAUGCCAUUUAGAACAGUCUGUAUCGGUGAAAUGAUAUAAUAAAUAGUUCAAUGUAUUUGAAUCUAGUUUAUUUUGCUGUGAUUGCGUGUGAACACCUAUACCACAAGCUACUGCUACAAUUUCACUACACAUGCCCACUAUAACACAUCACUCUUUGGUAUUGUUUUGUGCAAAUUACAACAUGGAGCAGAACCUCAGUGAAAUUUUCUCUUAUCAAGAUAAUAUUAUUCUGACUAGUUACAGUCUUAUUGCAUGAAACAACUAGACCUCAAAUUCAUACCACUGUACCUAGCUUGGAAUUUUUCUUCCACCAAAUUUGUUUACCACUUAACAUAAGCAGCAUGAAGCUCGAUAAAGAAUAAAUCGAAUAUAAGGAUAAGUUUGUGUUAUCUACUAAUAACACUUGCCCAAAAAUUUUCAGCUAUGUUAUAUAUUUAAUAUUCAUUCAGUCAAUCACUAAGGCGAUGCGAAGUCAUAUUAUUUAGUUAUUAACAAGCUUUGAGUUUUAAUUAAAGAGGUUAUAUAUUGACAUCCCUGAUUUGAUCAUUUUUCCAUGUUUUGUGUUCCAGAAUAAAAUUCUAGACAAUUAUAUUUCUACUGGAUAUACACAUAGAUGUAGCAAGUGAUAUUUACAGUGUAAUCCUAAUUGCUGUUUGUUUUUCCUGCUUAAUAAGGAAGAAGACGAGAUUGUCCUGCGAUGAAAUUUCAUAACCAAACAUUUAAUAAAGUAUGUACGACUUGCUGGCAAUUCUCCAACUUGAACCAGGAUUUUCGCAUGUGGCGGCUUAUGUAUAUUCAAUGUGAUGAUAAGCAGGUUCAAUAACGAAAUGAAGUUAUCCAUCGAAGGUCUAAUUGUUGCACCAUGUACUCCGAUGCACGAAGAUGGGUCAAUCAAUGUCAGUCCGAUUGCUGAAUAUGCGGUGUAUUUGAAAAACAAGCAAUGCGUUGACAACAUAUUUGUAUGUGGAACAACUGGUGAGGGUCAAAAUUUAACGAUUGAAGAAAGAAAGAAGGUUGGCGAAGAGUGGGUUAAACAAGGCCGAAAAAUAUUUAAGAAAAUAAUCAUUCACGUCGGUGCUGGAAAUCUCGCCGAAACUCAGGACUUGGCAAAACAUGCUACAGAAAUGAAAGCGGAUGCAGUAGCCAUUGCCCCACCUACAUAUUUUAAGCCAGCAUCGGUACAAAUACUCGGAGAUUACUUGGCAAGCGUAGCAAAAGUCGUUCCAGAUAUUCCAGUAUUGUUCUACCACUUACCGGAAAGAACAGGAGCCGACUUUGCAAUGCUAGACCUGUUGGACAAUGUUGUAGAUAGAAUCCCAAAUUUUGCUGGGAUGAAAUUUGUUACAUUCAACAUGGGAGACUUUGGUAGAUGUCAGCAAAGAUAUGGAGACCGAGUGACCUUAUCAUUCGGAAAAGAUGAGGCACUACUCUUCGCUGCAUUGUCAGGCGGGACUUCAUUCGUUGGAGCGACGUUUAAUUACAUGGGUAGUUUAUACAAAGAAAUGUUUGACUUGUUUACUGCAAAUGAUAUUAGAGAGGCAAUGAAGAAACAGCAAGAUAUUCAAGUAAUUUCGGGAAUAGUGGGACAACACCUAAGAGGGGUGACAGAACGCAUCAGUGGAAUAAAACUCGGACCCUCUCGAUUACCGAUUGCUCCAGUGGACGAAGACGGGGUUGAGAAAGCAAUGAAGUCGAUUAAAAGUUCGGGACUUAUGACGUUAUAAUUGGAGCUCAAACGUAUAAAGGAAAUAUGCAAAAAAAAUUCUCGUCAAUUGUGAAAAUUUUCUAUUGCCCAUAUGCUGGUGAAGGGGCAUAUAUAUUCAAACUUCACGAAAGAUCAGAAGAAUAAAAAAUAUUACUUGGUCACGUGGACAAAUUUACGUCACAUAUGCGUCCUUUUAGCAUAAAUCUGACUGAUGCAUAAUUGUACUUUGGCCUUAUUAUGUGCAUCAAAUGGUUCAAAACAACAUAAGAGAUAGAACAUGCGAAUGUUUGUCUAGCAGUAUUCACAGCACCGGUAUGCAUGAUGUGCGCGGUAGUUGGUAAAUAUGCGAUUGUGAUUUCAUGAAAAAUAGGUGAAUUCAACAAGCAUUCUAGCGUUUAGGGUAAAUAUUAAAAAAAAGGUCUUCUAAUAUAUUAUUUAGAUUAUGUUGGAUCGAGGACAAAUAGCCAUAUAUGUCUACAAGUUACUUAAUUAGCAUAUGCAGGAUUCCACUGUAGUUUAGGCGUAGUUCGAUUUUCAACCAGUAUAUCAGAACUAACUAGCUAACACGUAAAUAUUGGAUUUUUGUCGCAAUAGAUAUGUGGGAUUUAUUAAUUAUCAUUCAACCAUCAAAUUGAAUAUCUCCCGCGUAUACCUGUCUAAAAUAUACAUAAUAUACUAGUUCAGAUUGGCUUUUGCCUAUUUAAAUUUUAAUCCACUUUUUUUCUACUUUAUCCACUCGAAGAAUUCCAUAUUUGUCAGAUCUCCGAUAAUUUUAUCCAUUUGUUCUUUUGGCGUUGGUAGCAUUGAUAAACGAGGUGGUCCGACAUUUAUACCAGUAAUUCGACUCAUCAAUGCCUUUCCUAUUCCUAUGUCUAAAUCUGUUUCAAAAUAACGCAAGAUGUUAUCAUAGAAAUUAGGAUAACAAAAAAAUAUGAAGAGGUUGAGAAGAAAGGAUAAUUAGACUU